rnacentral:tRNA from 1 species
UCCCUGGUGCUCCAGUGGUUAGGAUUCUGCACCUUCACUGCUGAGGGUAUAGGUUCAACCCCUGGUCAGGGAA